UACGGAGGGUGCGAGCGUUGUCCGGAAUCAUUGGGCGUAAAGGGCUCGUAGGCGGUCUGUCGCGUCGGGAGUGAAAACUCAGGGCUUAACCCUGAGCCUGCUUCCGAUACGGGCAGACUAGAGGUAUGCAGGGGAGAACGGAAUUCCUGGUGUAGCGGUGAAAUGCGCAGAUAUCAGGAGGAACACCGGUGGCGAAGGCGGUUCUCUGGGCAUUACCUGACGCUGAGGAGCGAAAGUGUGGGGAGCGAACAGG
rnacentral:rRNA from 1 species